GCUGGGAUAGCUCCAUCAGUAGAGCAUGAGGCUUUUAACCUCAGGGCCGUGGGCUUGAUCCCCAUGCCGGGCA